UCUUCCAGGGCCUGACCUCCGCCACCUCCCUGGAGGCGACCUCACAGGCCCUCAUGCGGAAGAACAGCUUCUUGGCCAGUAACAUUUUUAACAGUUCCUUAGUGGGUAAGAACCUCAGCUCAGAAUCUGCCACCCCAAGUUACGUACAGCAUCCAGACCAGCAUUUUGUACAGCUUGAGGACGGAUCUGGUGAAAAACCCUUUCUGGAAGUUCCACCCUCAGAGCCUCCCAGCCAAUGGGUUCAAGUAUAACUACAUCUUUGUCCCGUUGCAAGACAUGAUCGAAAGAGCUAUCAUCUCAGUGCAGAUGGGGCAGGAGGCCCUGGACCCGGCCGUGCAGGUGCAGGCCAUCCCGUACCCGUGUCACACCAGCCACCUAAUGCGAAAUAAUUUAAGAAGAGGAAAAGAUUGGAGGGGUGGUGGUGUAUACAACAGCAUAGAAGGGAGAGAGACAUGUUUUCGGAGCAAAGCAGCCUGGUGUUGGCCGAAAGAGUUUACUUCAGUGGUUUUGUUGAUGAAAGGCUCUUUCUUCCCACUCUUCCUUUAAAAAGUGUGAGAGGCUUGGUUCUGUCUUCCUGGAGGAACUGAAAGAACAGACCCUUGAGUGAAAUGUGGACGUGCUGUGAGCAGGAGUCUUUCGAAAGGUGACGAUGUGCCCUGGAGGCGACAUGGACCGCGCAUGUGCGCUGAGAUCCACCGGUUUUGAGCUGGUCCUGUCUGCUCGGCGCUCCCGCCCGGCUCCUGAGAACUCGCGUGUGUGUUCCCCCUCUCCUCUCAUCUUGGUCUGUGCCCGUCCCCCCACCUCCUGGCUCUGCUUCCUGCUCCAAUGAUGAGCUUGCCUGUUGGGCUUGUAGAGAGAUGUGGUCCUUCUUGUUUGGACCUCCGGAUCUCCUCAGAAUGAGGUUUUCAUUAAUUUUCUCAGUUUUGCUGCUUCUGGCAGCUCUGGACCCUGGGAAUCAAUCACCUGGCCAUAGGCUGUGCCCAGUUCCCCAAGCACUGCCUCGAGGGAGGGGAGGUUUGAUGAAUGGGUGCAGGGUGGAGAGGUGACGUGACCACGACUUUCUAGAAGAUGCCCUGGAGAACGCGGUCUGGGAGUUGGUGGAGAAAGCUCAGGAGCAGGACAGACCAGAGAGAUGCUGCCACCAGAAGAGGCUUCUUGCAAGAGCAGUAAACACCCAAAGCACUGAGCCCGAAAGAAUCGAAAGCAGGGUCUCAGAGAGAUAUUGGGGCAUCCACGUCCGUAUAGCAACGUUGUUCACAGUGACCAGAGCGUGGAAGCAACCCAAGUGUCUAUCGCUGAAUGAAUGUGUAAAUAAAGUGUGGUCUCUACAUGCCAUGGAAUGUCACUCAGCCUUAAAAAAGAAGGAAAUUCUGAC